CUAACAGUUACUACCCAUAGAGUCAGCUCUAAGGCUAACAGUUACUACCCAUUGAGUCAGCUCUACAGCUAACAGUUACUACCCAUAGAGUCAGCUCUACAGCUAACAGUUACUACCCAUAGAGUCAGCUCUACGGCUAACAGUUACUACCCAUAGAGUCAGCUCUACAGCUAACAGUUACUACCCAUAGAGUCAGCUCUAAGGCUAACAGUUACUUACUACUUAUCGGUAGAUUACUGUGGAUUGCUGUACUGUAUCUGUCUGUAAAUUGGAUCUGGAUUGGUUGGUUGGGAUGGCAGUGUUUGAUUGGCCCACCUUUGCCACUGAUCAGCCAGUCAGAUGAGCGGGGCCUUGGGUUAGGAAGGGGAAUAGGGUAUCCAGUUUUAUAUUUCCCCCACUGAUGGUAAAGGUUAGGAUUGGGGGAAGGGAAGCUGAUCCUAGAUCUGUACCUAGGGAAAACGUCACCCUGGAGCGGGUGGGGAACAUAGUUUGGUUUAGUCUGCUGGUAAACUAAGGCUUCGUGUGAAAUACCAGCCUAUUCCCUAUAUAGUGGGCUUUCAUACUCAGCCUAUCCUAAAGAAUAUGGGUUAUUCAUCAAAUAUCUAGGCAGGAGCCAAGGACUACACAGAUAGAUUUGACACUUCUUCUCUUUCAUUUUUUAAAUGUCUUCCCGAAUCCCCUGAUUUAUGAGAGUCAAAUGUUUGCUCUUGAUUUUAUGUCCUGGUGUAAAUUCUGAAACAUUUGCAAAAACAUUGCUGUGAUUGUAGCUCAGCAUGAAUCAAACCACCGACAUCUUGUGAGUCCAAUAUGAUUAUACUGUAUAUCAACAAUAUAUUGUUCGGUGUGACCAGGGUUGAAUCUUUUGAAUAGUCUUUAGCCAUGACAAGGUGAUGGUGUUUAUGAAAUGAACUUUUGUUGUCUUGGGAGGAUUAUACACACAAAUUGAUAGCACUUCAGAACUCUUCUCCACAUACACCUGUGCUUUAAUGUAAACCUAACAUUAGGUUCCCUUUUAAAACAUCAUACCUGUGGUAACUUAUGAGGGGGACGUGUAAAGCAUUUUCAAAAGUCUGAUAAAUGUAACUUAAUUGUAUGGAACUUUGUUUACAUGAUUGGCAUAGUGGUCUAUUUGCUGUUAUUAGAGGCUAGUUUGGGAGAGGUAGGUAGGCUAUACCUAUGACAGGACAAUGCUUUGCGUCUAUCAAGUUUUCCUCUUUCUAACUUUUAGAACAGUAAACACUUUGCAACAUGGUCUUCGAAGUGCUUAGUACCUUAUCCUUACCUGCCCAGGGUUCUACUGAUAUGGAUUUAAUGGAUAUUAAUUUUUUUUAUUUUAUCUUUAUUUAACCAGGCAAGUCAGUUAAGAACAAAUUCUUAUUUUCAAUGACGGCCUAGGAACAGCGGGUUAACUGCCUGUUCAGGGGCAGAACGACAGAUUUGUACCUUGUCAGCUCGGGGGUUUGAACUUACAACCUUCCGGUUACUAGUCCAACGCUCUAACCACUAGGCUACCCUGCCGCCAAAUAGAAAAGUCUAGAACAAGAAGCACAGUAACAGCCAUUUGUCCAUGGCGUUUACCAACCAAAUUAAUUUGUUUGCAUUGAUUCUAAAGAAAAGCGUAGCCACUUUUAUUACUGUGUAAUAGUUACUCAACCAUUUCUAAUUUACAGAUAAGGACAAAGGUACUGGAUCAUUCCUAGGAUCUGUCCCAAAUCGCAUCCUAUUUCCUAUGUAGGGCACUACUUUGUACAUAGGGAAUAGGGUUCCAUUUGGGACGGAACCAUAGAGAACUGGGCCACAAUCGCAGCGCUCUGAUUGGAGGAGGGGAGGUUAAAGGUUAAUGAUGAUGUCACCUUUUUGGAUUGACUGCAUGUAUGUGUGAUUAAAUCAUUAUGAGUAAAACAUA
ensembl:lncRNA